rnacentral:rRNA from 1 species
GGAGGGUGCAAGCGUUAAUCGGAAUUACUGGGCGUAAAGCGCGCGCAGGCGGCUGGGUCAGUCGGAUGUGAAAGCCCCGGGCUUAACCUGGGAAUUGCAUUCGAUACUGCCCGGCUAGAGUAUGGGAGAGGGAAGUGGAAUUUCCGGUGUAGCGGUGAAAUGCGUAGAUAUCGGAAGGAACACCAGUGGCGAAGGCGGCUUCCUGGCCCAAUACUGACGCUCAGGUGCGAAAGCGUGGGGAGCGAACAGGGAUUAGAUACCCUGGUAGUCCACGCUGUAAACGAUGAGAACUAGAUGUUGGGAGGGUUAGCCUCUCAGUGUCGCAGCUAACGCGUUAAGUUCUCCGCCUGGGGAUACGACCGCAAGGUUG